UCUUCACUCUUUCCCUACACGACGCUCUUCCGAUCUAGUGGGUUGCACCAGAAGUAGCUAGUCUAACCUUCGGGAGGACGGUUACCACGGUGUGAUUCAUGACUGGGGUGAAGUCGUAACAAGGUAGCCGUAGGGGAACCUGCGGCUGGAUCACCUCCUUA
rnacentral:ncRNA from 1 species